AUGAACGCUGGCGGCGUGCCUAAUACAUGCAAGUCGAGCGAACGGACGAGAAGCUUGCUUCUCUGAUGUUAGCGGCGGACGGGUGAGUAACACGUGGAUAACCUACCUAUAAGACUGGGAUAACUUCGGGAAACCGGAGCUAAUACCGGAUAAUAUUUUGAACCGCAUGGUUCAAAAGUGAAAGACGGUCUUGCUGUCACUUAUAGAUGGAUCCGCGCUGCAUUAGCUAGUUGGUAAGGUAACGGCUUACCAAGGCAACGAUGCAUAGCCGACCUGAGAGGGUGAUCGGCUACACUGGAACUGAGACACGGUCCAGACUCCUACGGGAGGCAGCAGUAGGGAAUCUUCCGCAAUGGGCGAAAGCCUGACGGAGCAACGCCGCGUGAGUGAUGAAGGUCUUCGGAUCGUAAAGCUCUGUUAUUAGGGAAGAACAUAUGUGUAAGUAACUGUGCACAUCUUGACGGCACCUAAUCAGAAAGCCACGGCUAACUACGUG
rnacentral:rRNA from 1 species